rnacentral:rRNA from 1 species
GACGAAGGGGGCUAGCGUUGUUCGGAAUUACUGGGCGUAAAGCGAGUGUAGGUGGUUGUCCAAGUUGGAUGUGAAAGCCUUGAGCUCAACUCAAGAAAUGCAUUCAGGACUGGGCGGCUAGAGGACCGGAGAGGAUAGUGGAAUUCCCAGUGUAGUGGUGAAAUACGUAGAGAUUGGGAAGAACACCAGUGGCGAAGGCGGCGACCUGGUUCAUAACUGACGCUGAGGCGCGAAAGCGUGGGGAGCAAACAGGG